AGCUUUGCGCAGUGGCAGUAUCGUAGCCAAUGAGGUUUAUCCGAGGCGCGAUUAUUGCUAAUUAAACCUAUGAUUCAGUAUAAUGUCUUAUCUUAUGAUGGCCUUAUCUGGAAACAAAGAACUUAGGAAUAUUGAGAACAAU
rfam:Mustela putorius furo unplaced genomic scaffold scaffold00036, whole genome shotgun sequence.